rnacentral:rRNA from 1 species
UGGGGAAUAUUGCACAAUGGGCGCAAGCCUGAUGCAGCCAUGCCGCGUGUAUGAAGAAGGCCUUCGGGUUGUAAAGUACUUUCAGCGGGGAGGAAGGGAGUAAAGUUAAUACCUUUACUCAUUGACGUUACCCGCAGAAGAAGCACCGGCUAACUCCGUGCCAGCAGCCGCGGUAAUACGGAGGGUGCAAGCGUUAAUCGGAAUUACUGGGCGUAAAGCGCACGCAGGCGGUUUGUUAAGUCAGAUGUGAAAUCCCCGGGCUUAACCCGGGAAUUGCAUCUGAUACUGGUCAGCUAGAGUCUUGUAGAGGGGGGUAGAAUUCCAUGUGUAGCGGUGAAAUGCGUAGAGAUGUGGAGGAAUACCGGUGGCGAAGGCGGCCCCCCGUACAAAGACUGACACUCAGGUGCGAAAGCGUGGGGAGCAAACAGG